UCUUACAGAUGUUGGAGAAGCAACCAUGGUUAUGAUGAGUGUCAUCAAAAAUGGUGGGAUUGCACCUGGAGGCUUCAACUUCGACGCCAAACUGCGAAGAGAGAGUACAGAUGUUGAAGACUUGUUCAUUGCUCA